CUAGGUCGGAUUAGCUUGUUGGUGAGGUAAUGGCUCACCAAGGCGACGAUCCGUAACUGGUCUGAGAGGAUGAUCAGUCACACUGGAACUGAGACACGGUCCAGACUCCUACGGGAGGCAGCAGUGGGGAAUAUUGGACAAUGGGCGAAAGCCUGAUCCAGCCAUGCCGCGUGUGUGAAGAAGGUCUUCGGAUUGUAAAGCACUUUAAGUUGGGAGGAAGGGUUGUAGAUUAAUACUCUGCAAUUUUGACGUUACCGACAGAAUAAGCACCGGCUAACUCUGUGCCAGCAGCCGCGGUAAUACAGAGGGUGCAAGCGUUAAUCGGAAUUACUGGGCGUAAAGCGCGCGUAGGUGGUUUGUUAAGUUGGAUGUGAAAGCCCCGGGCUCAACCUGGGAACUGCAUCCAAAACUGGCAAGCUAGAGUACGGUAGAGGGUGGUGGAAUUUCCUGUGUAGCGGUGAAAUGCGUAGAUAUAGGAAGGAACACCAGUGGCGAAGGCGACCACCUGGACUGAUACUGACACUGAGGUGCGAAAGCGUGGGGAGCAAACA
rnacentral:rRNA from 1 species